rfam:Camelus ferus unplaced genomic scaffold scaffold294, whole genome shotgun sequence.
GAGGGUAUAGCUCAGUGGCAGAGCACAUGCUUAGCACACGUGAGGUCCUGGGUUCCAACCCCAGUACCUCCA